AGAGUUUGAUCCUGGCUCAGGAUGAACGCUAGCGACAGGCCUAACACAUGCAAGUCGAGGGGCAGCGAAGAGGUAGCAAUACCUUUGUCGGCGACCGGCGCACGGGUGAGUAACACGUAUGCAAUCCACCUGUAACAGGGGGAUAACCCGGAGAAAUCCGGACUAAUACCCCAUAAUAUGGGCGCUCCGCAUGGAGAGCCCAUUAAAGAGAGCAAUUUUGGUUACAGACGAGCAUGCGCUCCAUUAGCCAGUUGGCGGGGUAACGGCCCACCAAAGCGACGAUGGAUAGGGGUUCUGAGAGGAAGGUCCCCCACAUUGGAACUGAGACACGGUCCAAACUCCUACGGGAGGCAGCAGUGAGGAAUAUUGGUCAAUGGUCGGCAGACUGAACCAGCCAAGUCGCGUGAGGGAAGACGGCCCUACGGGUUGUAAACCUCUUUUGUCGGAGAGUAAAGUACGCUACGUGUAGUGUAUUGCAAGUAUCCGAAGAAAAAGCAUCGGCUAACUCCGUGCCAGCAGCCGCGGUAAUACGGAGGAUGCGAGCGUUAUCCGGAUUUAUUGGGUUUAAAGGGUGCGUAGGUGGUGAUUUAAGUCAGCGGUGAAAGUUUGUGGCUCAACCAUAAAAUUGCCGUUGAAACUGGGUUACUUGAGUGUGUUUGAGGUAGGCGGAAUGCGUGGUGUAGCGGUGAAAUGCAUAGAUAUCACGCAGAACUCCGAUUGCGAAGGCAGCUUACUAAACCAUAACUGACACUGAAGCACGAAAGCGUGGGGAUCAAACAGGAUUAGAUACCCUGGUAGUCCACGCAGUAAACGAUGAUCACUAGCUGUUUGCGAUACAGUGUAAGCGGCACAGCGAAAGCGUUAAGUGAUCCACCUGGGGAGUACGCCGGCAACGGUGAAACUCAAAGGAAUUGACGGGGGCCC
rnacentral:rRNA from 1 species